ACAAUUCGGCGAUUGUAUUGGACAUGCACCAAAUCAUUUAAUCGUUGAUGCUCCAACCUAUUUCUCUUCUUCGUAUGAAUCUGAAAUUUUUGUUUAAAAAUAUUAAGCAAAAAGAAUAUAUAAAAUAUUUAUACAUUUAGUUAUGUACUAAUUGCUUACAAACUCGAAAUUGCUCCAAUUGCGUUCACAACCGGAAGAAGAACAACAAAGGCCGAGGAUUCGCUUUGCAAACUUUGUAAACUCAAUAGCACAACCGCCAAAAGCAUUCCACCAAUCAACUACAUUAGAUGUAAAAAAUUAAAAAAAUCAAAUAUAGUCUUAAUUAUUAAACUUAAAAGAAAAAUUUAUCGUUUCUCCCUCUCGUUUCUCCCUCUCGAUUCUCGAAUUGUCGUCGAAGGAAAAGGAACUGUCGAAGAAGGAAAAAGAUAACUGAAGUACAAAUUUGUUGAAGGAACUGUCGAGCAGCUCGAACUGUCGUCGAAACUCGAAGGAAAUGGGUUUGUCGUCGAACUGUCGAACAGACAAUAAGAAGGAAAAGGUUCGAUUUGCUGCAGUCCCUCCUCUUUGGAAGUUCUCCCUCUCGUAUCACUGUCGAUUGUCGAAGUUCUCCCUCUCGUUUCUGAUUUCUCCCUCUCGAACUAUCGAAGAAUGAAAAGUUCGAAUGAAAAGAAACUGUCAAUCGAUUGUCGAAGAAGGAAAAAAACGAGCAGAUCGAUUUAGGUUUUUGAAUUGGGUCGGGUCAAACCCGCUUUGGAAAGUCGCCCGCUUUGCUAGAUAGUCGUCCAAGUCGUCUGCUGAGCGUCCAAGUCGUCUAAGGCGAGGCCUGAGCGGUCGACUACGUGCUCUUCAACCAAGUCGGUAGGACGCCUUGUUUUUUCUGGUCGACUCGACGCCUAGUCGUCGCCUAGGCGACGACUAGUCGACGACUUGACAACAAUGGUUGUGGCAUUAAAUGCUUCUGAACUUUCUGUGCUGCGAUGGAGACAUUUCUGCACAUCUCUGAAUUCUGCAUUCUGCAUUCUGGCUCACUGACACUGCAGGCUGCUUUCUCACCUACCACCUGAAAAGGUGUUUUGUCCCUCUUAUCCAUAGUACUAUCCUUGGCUUCUUAAAUACGCUUCUUUGUUGCAUACUAAGGAUAUUUCAUAUAUUCUGGGACUGAUGAGCACUGCAGCAUCUGAGAUCCAUUCCUCGUAUGUUGAAUUAACAACUCAUGAGGCUUGACGUUUUCUGACAUGAGACAGAUGAUGCUCUACGAUUGGAUCGUGAUGUUCUACGGUUAAGAUCGUAGUGGCUUUGACUUGCAUACUACGAUAUUAUCAAUCGAGAACACUACGAUUUCUCUUAAACUUUCAUGCACUACGAUCUUCUCUUGCUCGUGUUGUUGACUCUACGUUCCCGAGAGCACACUACGAUCGUUGACUUAUAAACUUCACGUUUCCUUCAGCACACUACGAUCGUGGAGUUAGCUUGGUGAACGUUGGGACCACUCUACGAUUUCCGAAGAGUCCCCUUUCAAGGCAGGCACACUACGAUCUUCAGGCUCUACGUUUUCUGCCUUGACUUCUGCAAUGUUGAUCAGAUUGAUGCACUACGAUUUCUUCAAGACUAAUCUAUUACAUCUCAAGAUCAACCUAACAGUUUUGAUCUUUCUAUCUAUACAUUCUAGAACAGAAUGAUACACGUUGAAAGCUUAGAUCAACCUAACAAUUUUGAUCUAUCACCAAGUCCUUGUACAUAUAUUCUUUAAAGGACCUUACAAAUAAUCAUAAACACAUGCAUUAAAACAUCAAAUCAUAAUAUGCAUUCUCCCAACACAUAUUAUUAAGUGCAAAUGAUUAGUAAACUAUUUAGUAGUACUAACAGUCAUGCAUAAAUAUUGGAGCAAAGAAUAUAAUAUAAUUAAUAGAAAUAUAGCAUAGUAGUACUAAUUUAACUAUAAUUAAUAAAUUCAGAAUCAUGAUUUUCCAUUUUGAUUAAUUUCUUUCUUGAUCAGUGAAAAUGAAUGAUAUGGGAAACAAACAAAAAAGUAACAGACCAGUCGGCAGUAAAAAAAAAAAAAAAAAAAGCAACAGAGCACAUAUAGGAGCAACAGGGAAAACUUUUCGUUAGUCUCGAGAAACAGAGCAGUCGGCACUCGGCACAACAGAGAAGGUCAGAAGAAAGGGGAAAGAAAAAAGAAGGAAUACCUACCGAAACUAAGCGACGGGAGUCGCGAGCUUAGCGCCUUAGCCGGGAAUGGAGCACGGGAGGGAGGGAGUCGAAGGCUGCGAGGCUGAAGCUGCGACUGAAAAUCGAGCGAUGAUCGAAGUUCAUGGGUUACGCUGACAAAGAUGUCGAGUGACGAUGACGAAGAUGGUGUCUAGUGACGAAGAAGGUCUUCGAUGUCGAGUGACGAUGAUCGAAGUUCAGCGUAAGGGCUUUCUCCUUUUCUCCUCUUUUUUUCGAUGGGUCAUGGGUUACGCUCGCCUUAGCAGCUCUCUCCCAAGUCGUCGCUCUCCUUCUCUUCUCCCAAGCGCCUGGACGCGCAAGUGGAAAACUCACUUGUGCACACCCGCAUAAUAGACUAGAAGAAAAAAAAUUCUCUAGUUUAUAAUUUAUUUCUUAUGUAGAAAUUACUUGUAAAGACCCGGCCCAGCUCGAACCCAGGGUCAAGCCUACUGUCUCAAAAGUACGAUUUGGUCACUUCAGCCACCACAGGUCCACCUAAAUGGUCAUGACUUAACAGGAAGUGGUGGAGGCUUAUGGUGCAGUGCACUACACUGCAAUUUUAUUUAGCAAGUUGGGUUAAAUAGACUGCUGGGUGGUGCACACUGCACAGACACAUCUUUUUUACCUAUACCUAAUUGUACCAGGGCUUUGCAUGCACUUCCCUUUACGUGUUCCUUUGUUCAAAUUCUGUUACAGUGUAGGGUGCGAAUAUAAUCUUAAGCAUAGAACACAACUUGUUCAACUCCUGCAGAUUUUUCAGUUUAUAACUUACUGUUCUCAAAAGAAAAUCUCACCUGUUAUACAGGCCCUUAUUCCUUUUUCAUUUUUGACAAUUACAGUGUAUACUGCCUAUAAGGCUUAUAACACAAGAUCAAUAUCAAGUAACAAGAAAAAACUGUUUUCAGUUCUAAAUAAGGGUUAUAUGAGACUCUGACCUAAACAGUCGAUACUACAAUGAAAAACCAUGCAAAUAAUUGUUAACCAGUUAAAAGUUUCACUAGCAGAGAAACAACCCAUUCCAUUAUAGAUGGCUUCAGAAGUUGAAAGACAAACUGACUGACAAAGAAAAUCUAGGAGAAAAUUCAGGGGGUUUAGAAAAAAAAUCCACAAAUCUAGGAGAAAAUUGUUGAUUAUAAUUGAAUUGUUUAUCAUGUUUUGUGCUUAUUGAUAAUUGUUUAGCUAGCAAUUAUUGUGAUAUAACCUGGAUGAAAUUGGAAAAUGGAUUCUAGGGUUAGAUCUGAAUAUGAUAACAUGUGUUCUUGAUUAUUCUUCUUGGAAUUGAAUACCAUGAUUUGUGUAUAAGAUAGGAAUAUACUUAUAUGCCCUAUAUAACCUUCAUGAGAAUUUUGAUCUCAAUGAAUCUAUUCUUAAUUAUUUCACAUAAGAAUAUAGUUACGUAAUUGAAAAACAUAUUUUUAUCAAAUCAUCGGAAGAGGGGUUUUAAAUAAUUAAGAAUUCUCGGUUAACGAUUCUUAUAAUUAAUUAAUUGAGAGGAGAGUGAAGAGAUUUAGGCGAAACAUUGGGGUGAAAUUGUAAUCUUAACUUUUAAAUCUGUUUUUAGGUAAUUUAGUUUUAUUUUAAUUAGUUUAGUUUUAUAAUUUUAAAUCAAUUGUUUAAAUAAGAUUGAAUUGAUAUAAAGUUAGUACUUGGAUAACAUUAUUAGCAUAUUCCUCGUGGGAUCGACACUCUACUCACUACUAUAUUACUUGUUGAUCACAUAUGCUUGCGUGUGAAAUUGCCAAUAUCAUAUUCUCGUACAAUCUUUCCUUGUAAAGAAAAUGAAAUGAUGGAGACAGAAGAAAAGUUUUUGAUUCAGUAAAUACCUUCGCUAGGAAUUACUGCACCCAAGUUUGAGAGGAAACAAGAAUCAGUGUGACCGAGUUAAUGUUAUUUUGGAGGAAUAGCUGCAAAUGCCAUAUACAGUUUACUGAAACCAAUAAAAGUAAUACUAAACUAAGAAUGGUGAAGAAUUGUCUACACAGUUUGCUUGGCUAUGGGAACAAGAUUACCUGUAGCUUUAAUAUUUUCCCCCAAUUUGA
rnacentral:lncRNA from 1 species